ACGUUAGCGGCGGACGGGUGAGUAACACGUGGGUAACCUACCUAUAAGACUGGGAUAACUUCGGGAAACCGGAGCUAAUACCGGAUAAUAUUUCAACCGCAUGGUUCGAUAGUGAAAGAUGGUUUUGCUAUCACUUAUAGAUGGACCCGCGCCGUAUUAGCUAGUUGGUAAGGUAACGGCUUACCAAGGCGACGAUACGUAGCCGACCUGAGAGGGUGAUCGGCCACACUGGAACUGAGACACGGUCCAGACUCCUACGGGAGGCAGCAGGC
rnacentral:rRNA from 1 species